GACAGAGGUGCCGAGCGUUAGGCGGAAUCACUGGGCUUAAAGCGUGUGUAGGCGGGCGGGCAAGUACCUUGUGAAAUCCCACGGCUCAACCGUGGAACGGCUGGGUAUACUGCCUGUCUUGAGCCAGCUAGGGGCGAGCGGAACAGACGGUGGAGCGGUGAAAUGCGUAGAUAUCGUUUGGAACGCCAAUGGUGAAAACAACUUGCUGGGGGUGUGCUGACGCUGAGACACGAAAGCCAGGGGAGCAAACGGG
rnacentral:rRNA from 1 species